rnacentral:misc_RNA from 1 species
AAGUCGUAACAAGGUUUCCGUAGGUGAACCUGCGGAAGGAUCAUUACAGAGAACAUCGCCCUCACGGGUGACUCUCCAACCCUUUGUUAUUAUACCUUUGUUGCUUUGGCGAGCCGCCUCGGCCACCGGCUCACGCUGGUGAGUGCUCGCCAGAGGACCCCAAACUCUGAAUAUUAGUGUCGUCCGAGUAUUAUAUAAUAGUUAAAACUUUCAACAACGGAUCUCUUGGUUCUG